rnacentral:rRNA from 1 species
UACAUGGGGUGCAAGCGUUGCUCGGAAUUAUUGGGCGUAAAGCGCACGUAGGCGGUUCGUUAAGUCGGAUGUGAAAGCCCUCGGCUCAACUGAGGAAGUGCACCCGAAACUGGCGAGCUUGAGUACGAAAGAGGAUCGCGGAAUUCCCGGUGUAGAGGUGAAAUUCGUAGAUAUCGGGAGGAACACCGGUGGCGAAGGCGGCGAUCUGGGUCGAUACUGACGCUGAGGUGCGAAAGCGUGGGGAGCAAACAGG